rnacentral:rRNA from 1 species
CACGGGGGGAGCAAGCGUUGUUCGGAAUCACUGGGCGUAAAGGGCGUGUAGGCGGUUUGGUAAGUGGAAUGUGAAAUCCCCCGGCUUACCCGGGGACCUGCAUCCCAUACUGCCAAGCUUGAGUACGGGAGAGGAUGAGGGAAUUCCUGGUGUAGCGGUGAAAUGCGUAGAUAUCAGGAGGAACACCGGUGGCGAAAGCGCUCAUCUGGCCCGAUACUGACGCUGAGGAGCGAAAGCCAGGGGAGCAAACGGG